rnacentral:lncRNA from 1 species
GGCAAUUGCUUAUAUACCCCUGAAAAGUUCCCGACUUUUCGAUUUACCCCUUUUAGAAGGCUAAUAUUGAAAAUACCCCUCCUACGUUCCAACCUAUUUCUAAUAUACCCUUAGAGUUAAAAUCUGUUAAGUAACUCUGUUAUCUCUGUAAAAUUACUAUUUUGCCCUUUCAAAUAUACCCUUCCACCAUCACCGUCUUUCUUAUUUGCCCUUAAAGUCAGGGGCACAAAAAGUGUUUUGACUUUUGGUCUUUUCCAAUAUACCCCUAUACUGUCACCAACUUU